rnacentral:misc_RNA from 1 species
AAAAAAAAAAAAAGGUUGAAUUCGAAGUAAGCAGUUUCUUUUGUUUUUGGGUAUUUAUCCAAUGUUUGAUUGAUGCAUCUCAUCUUCUGCAAUGGGCGGUUGAGAUUGCACCGUUUGAGUUUCCGUAAAAGGAAAACUUUUACUGCGCCAGAUUUGAAGGCCCUCCUGUGUUGGGUAAGGUGAGAAGGGCUUAGCCGUUUUGGCAAAUGAUUUAGCAUGCACUAAAGAAAACAGCUUUCAGUUUUGUACAUGUGAGUAUAGGCCAUCGUCUUUUGAUGGGUUGCAUUGCCACGUGCCUCUGUUUACACUCCUUUAAAAGUUGGAAUCAAAAGCCAGAGAUCAUAACUAGCUUACCCAGCUCAGCUAACACACUUGUCAUAUAACUGAGUUUUCUUUUUCUUAUAUUUUUUUAAUAUUCUAAAAUAAGUAUCAUCCACCAUAGCAUGUGCUGCACGUCUGUCUUUCACAGCCGAUAUAACUGAG